ACACUCCUGCGGGAGGCAGCAGUGGGGAAUUUUGGACAAUGGGCGAAAGCCUGAUCCAGCCAUGCCGCGUGAGUGAAGAAGGCCUUCGGGUUGUAAAGCUCUUUUGGCGGGGAAGAAACGGUGGAAGCUAAUAUCUUUUGCUAAUGACGGUACCUGCAGAAGAAGCACCGGCUAACUACGUGCCAGCAGCCGCGGUAAUACGUAGGGUGCAAGCGUUAAUCGGAAUUACUGGGCGUAAAGCGUGCGCAGGCGGUUUGUUAAGUCUGAUGUGAAAUCCCCGGGCUCAACCUGGGAAUUGCAUUGGAGACUGGUAGGCUAGAAUCUGGCAGAGGGUGGUAGAAUUCCAGGUGUAGCAGUGAAAUGCGUAGAGAUGUGGAGGAACACCGAUGGCGAAGGCAGCCACCUGGGUCAAGACUGACGCUCAGGCACGAAAGCGUGGGGAGCAAACAGGAUUAGAUACCCCUGUAGUCCCA
rnacentral:rRNA from 1 species